AUUGCAAAAUGGGCGAAAGCCCGAUGCAGCAACGCCGCGUGGGCGAUGAAGGCCUUCGGGUCGUAAAGCCCUUUUUGAGGGGAUGAGGAAGGACAGUACCCUCAGAAUAAGCCUCGGCUAACUACGUGCCAGCAGCCGCGGUAAAACGUAGGAGGCGAGCGUUAUCCGGAUUUACUGGGCGUAAAGCGCGUGCAGGCGGAUUGGAGAGUUGGAUGUGAAAGCUCCCGGCUUAACUGGGAGAGGUCGUUCAAUACUUCCAGUCUGUAGUGCAGUGGAGGGAAGUAGGAUUCCGGGUGUAGUGGUGAAAUGCGUAGAUAUCCGGAGGAACACCAGUGGCGAAAGCGGCUUCCGGGACUGUAACUGACGCUCAGACGCGAAAGCUAGGGUAGCAAACG
rnacentral:rRNA from 1 species